CCAAUACCAGGGGGGUGCAACUCCCAUACAAAGGAAAAGAACAUUCAACUAGCGUCAUCUUUAGGAACCGGCGAGGUCAUUUUUGAAACGUUUUGGCCUUAAUGAACUAAUAAGCUCACUAGAUGGCAGAUACGAGUUCUGACUCAAUAAAAAAGGUUAGCGUACUUUGAAGCAGUGCUUCCACUUUUAGGGAAUUCUCCCUUUUUUAGGGAAAAAUAGCUGAUAUUUUGGAUGAUAAAGACAAUUUAAAAAAUACCAGGAUUUAGGAUAUUUCGGGGUAAAAAGCAAAGCCUAUACUAGUAACUGUUGUGAAUUUUAAAAUAAACGAUAAUUAAAGUAAAACAAUGAACCUUUUACUUUAUGGAGAGAGAAUGACAUUAAGUCGAGUUGACAAGUAAAAGAAUAAAACAGAGUUGUGUAUAAAAACUAUAAAGAAGGUUUGAUUCAACAGUAACCGCUAGUAAAGUAAAUCAUAGAUUAAGCCACUGCUUUUUUCUUAGGGAUUCCCCAGAAUCCCAAUAAGUAUAAUCCGCCAAACUUUUAUUUACCUAUUUUCGUUGAUGUCACCAGAACUUACUUGUAUUGUAAUAUACAGGUACUUCAUGUACCAUGAAAGAUUAUCAUGGUAAUUUCAUUUACGAAAACCUUGUAAUUGUCAUUUCACUUUUGCUAGCAGUUCCUUCUUCAAAGACUGAGGUGGAAAGAUUAUUCAGUGUUCUCAAAUGUAAAAACUGACAAAAGAAACAGGCUUUCUAAUGAAACCCUGAACGGCUUGCUUCAUAGAAAGUUCCCAACUUUGCCAGCAAACAAUUGCUCAAUUUUAGAACCGAACAGUGUUAGGUUGCGUGCAGCAAAAGAAUAUAAAAGCAAUGCGUCGACUUCCUUGAAAAUUCUAAUCCUAUAGAUCUAUGAUCUUCUGGGGGCGUUUAUAUUAUAUAUACCUACAUUAAAUAAUAUGCUGUGGUUUAUUUUCUGUAUUUUAUUUAUGCUUUCUAUAUAAAGGAUUUAUGAAAGUUGUCUAGGAAAUUUUAGGGAUAAAUUCAAAAGAAACUAGGGUAAAAUGUGUUAAAAAAAACGUAAGUGGAAACACUGCUUUGAAGUUUUCAAAAUUCCAGGGCCGUAAAACAAUCUCAAAAAAAAAAAAAAAGUUUUCAAAAUGUCGUAACGAUUUAAUUUUUUAAAUCGUUUUUUUUUGGUCUUGGUGUGAGUUAUAUUACGUUGUAGUAUUAAUUUAGAGCAUCUUUUAGCUUUAUGAGAAUAUUAGACGAUUAGACAUUGAGAAACUCUGUUUUGAAUUCUCUUUAGACAUAACUUGGUUCCAAUACUUUUUUCUUCGUUAGCGUUUCGUAAGCCUGUGUAACUAUUUUCGUUUCUUACAGAAAGUUUAUUAUUAAAAAUCAGCAUGCCUCGAAGAUCGAAAAUGAAAUGCUAUUUCGGAUGCCUUGAUAACGACAAAGGUUUGAUAAUGACAAAAUUUUAUGGAAAAAUUAUAAGGAGCACUAAAAUGUCUGAAACAUGAAAAGAUUGAUGCACUAUAUUUGAACCAGAACGUGUUAUGUAAUAUAUUAAUUUAAGAGAAACUGAUUCAGCAAGGAAUGUGAACUCACAAGGGAUCUUAAUUUUUUUUAAAUAUGUUUAUAAUUUAUAAAUUAAUAAUUGAAAUAGUUCAUAAGAACUAAAUUGAGGCCAAUUUUGUUUUAAAAUAGGUUGUUUAGUUCUUAUAGUUAUACUAUUACGUUUGAAUAGUUGUAAUUAGUAAGUUAGUAAUAUAUGAAAAUACUGAUAUAAAUUUUUGUAAAUGACCUUUUGUAAAUUCUACGAGAAGAUGAUUUUAAUUAAUGAUCAAAAGUCAACGAUCUUCAAAAGCAUUAUUUGCAAUUAUUUAGAUUAACUGUGGAAUAUAUUUGCUAAGUUGUGUUUUCUGUAUGAGCAGAUAUAAAUGAAAAUGCCCAAACAUGAUUAUGUUUCUUACAUUUUCAUUAUGUGAAAUCAAUAUGCUUGUGACUGAGUAUAUUAAUAAUUUAUUAAAACUUAAGUGAUAGACAGCAACCCCUAUGACACUGCUGAAGUUUAUAAGCACUGGUGACCACUUAUCAUGAGCCGGGUUGUGUGCUCGUCUGCUGUUGAGUGCAAUAAAAAUUUUCGAGACCCUUUCUAUUAUUUAGAUGUAAUAUUAAUGUACAUCUAAUUUGGAUUAAAAGAUAAAUUUACAUUUUAUGUUUGCAUGUGUAUGUUUAUAAUUCAUUUGCAUGUAACGAACAUCAGUUUCUUUUGUAACAAAAUGCAAACUAAUGGUUUGUAAUGAAUGUAAUUAACUUUAAGAUGAUUUUCUUUCAAUCUGCUGUUUGUUUCAUCUAGUAUUACCAAAGCUAAAGCAUCAGAAACGUCAGAAUAGAAAUAAUUUAGAUAGGGAAUAAAAGUAUAACUAUUGUAAUCAUGUCUAAGAUUACUAUAAGUGUCAUUAAGUACAAACUAUCAAUAUUUAAGAGUACUUUAAAUCAUCAUUACAUUUUUUAAACAUUUUUUGUUUUUUUUUUGUUUUUCAAAUCAUGUAACAAAACGUUAGUGCAGAACAAAAUGUCACAUGUUAUGAACAUGAUUGUGGGUUAAUCGUUUCUUAAAUUUCUAAAUGUUUAUAAGAAUGCUAAGAAUAAUUUAGUAUUCAAAUUAGUGUGUGUAUUAUCUCUACAAUGCUAGUUUAAAUGACAAUUAUUGUAUGACGAAGCAUAGGUAGUAUUUAUAGAUGUAAUAUUUUCAUACAAGGUCAUGAUCUGUCACGAUCAACUUUAAGCAAGAACUGCUAUCAUUAAGAAACAAAUUUAUUAAAUUUAAUUCAAAUUGUCUACUAUGUUUAUAAUGGAAAGCUGACAUGUUUAUAUUUCGCACAAAUGACUUAAUUGACAUUGAAUGAUUUGAUUAUCUAGACUUAAUUAACUUUUAGAUAACUUUCGAUUUAAUGUUAAUAAGUACGCUAGUAGGAUUAAUCUAGAGGAGUUAUUGUUAUUCGAAGUUUUAUACAAUUGUACGUUCAUACAAUCUUUUAACCGAAAAUUGUUUGUAAUAUAGGGAAAUUAAAUAGCUUACAGAGAA